CACGGCCAGUUUGAGUUGAUUCGCUCUUUCGCAAUAGAGCUUUGAGUCAAAUUACUGUCCGGAAAUUAUAGAGAUGAAGCUCAUUUGGAGCAAUAACAAUUGUUGAAGCUCCGAAAAUGAUGCUCUUCCCACAAUU
rnacentral:snoRNA from 15 species